rnacentral:rRNA from 1 species
AGCAGCCGCGGUAAUUCCAGCUCCAAUAGCGUAUAUUAAAGUUGUUGCAGUUAAAAAGCUCGUAGUUGAAUUUCGGGGUCAGUAGGUUGGUCAUGCCACUGGUAUGUACUGGUCUCACUGAUUCCUCCUUCCUGAUGAACUGUAAUGCCAUUAAUUUGGUGUUGCAGGGAAUCUGGACUGUUACUUUGAAAAAAUUAGAGUGUUUAAAGCAGGCUCACGCUUGAAUACAUUAGCAUGGAAUAAUGAAAUAGGACGUUUGAUUCUAUUUUGUUGGUUUCUAGGAUCGACGUAAUGAUUAAUAGGGAUAGUUGGGGGCAUUAGUAUUCAAUUGUCAGAGGUGAAAUUCUUGGAUUUAUUGAAGACUAACUACUGCGAAAGCAUUUGCCAAGGAUGUUUUCAUUAAUCAAGAACGAAAGUUAGGGGAUCGAAGACGAUCAGAUACCGUCGUAGUCUUAACCAUAAACUAUGCCGACUAGGGAUCGGAUGAUGUUAAUUUUUAAUUGUACU